GACGAACGCUGGCGGCGUGCCUAAUACAUGCAAGUAGAACGCUGAAGAGAGGAGCUUGCUCUUCUUGGAUGAGUUGCGAACGGGUGAGUAACGCGUAGGUAACCUGCCUUGUAGCGGGGGAUAACUAUUGGAAACGAUAGCUAAUACCGCAUAACAAUGGAUGACUCAUGUCAUUUAUUUGAAAGGGGCAGAUGCUCCACUACAAGAUGGACCUGCGUUGUAUUAGCUAGUAGGUGAGGUAACGGCUCACCUAGGCGACGAUACAUAGCCGACCUGAGAGGGUGAUCGGCCACACUGGGACUGAGACACGGCCCAGACUCCUACGGGAGGCAGCAGUAGGGAAUCUUCGGCAAUGGGGGCAACCCUGACCGAGCAACGCCGCGUGAGUGAAGAAGGUUUUCGGAUCGUAGAGCUCUGUUGUAAGUCAAGAACGAGUGUGAGAGUGGAAAGUUCACACUGUGACGGUAGCUUACCAGAAAGGGACGGCUAACUACGUGCCAGCAGCCGCGGUAAUACGUAGGUCCCGAGCGUUGUCCGGAUUUAUUGGGCGUAAAGCGAGCGCAGGCGGUUUGAUAAGUCUGAAGUUAAAGGCUGUGGCUCAACCAUAGUUCGCUUUGGAAACUGUCAAACUUGAGUGCAGAAGGGGAGAGUGGAAUUCCAUGUGUAGCGGUGAAAUGCGUAGAUAUAUGGAGGAACACCGGUGGCGAAAGCGGCUCUCUGGUCUGUAACUGACGCUGAGGCUCGAAAGCGUGGGGGAGCGAACAGG
rnacentral:rRNA from 1 species